GGUGCCAUUCGAAUUUGAUUGUAGCCCGUGAAGGCGUCCAUAAAGCUCAAAAGUCGAUGUCCCAAAAUCGCAUCAACUAGUUGAUCGAUUUUUGAAAAGGAAAAACUGUCCUUCGGAUAAACUUCAUUUAAAUUUGUAUAGUCGAUGCAGAUUUUUUAUUUUUUAUUAGCUUUUUUCAUCAUCACUACAUUGGCGAGCCAAUCAGGAUAAUUAGCCUCUAAUGAAGCCAGCCGUGAGGAGCUUGUCGACUUUUUCAUCGAUGACUUUCUGUCUUUCAAGGGCAA
rnacentral:lncRNA from 1 species